rfam:Pachysolen tannophilus NRRL Y-2460 unplaced genomic scaffold PACTA_scaffold_10, whole genome shotgun sequence.
AGGUAUUUAGUUUAAUGGUAAAACAAUAACCUUCAAAGUUAUAUUUGAGAGUUCAACUCUUUCAAUACCUG